GUCAUUCGCCUUAACAGAGGAAACUCUGGUGAAGGCCCGCAGCGGUCCUGACGUGCAAAUCGGUCGUCCGACCUGGGUAUAGGGACGAAAGACUAAUCGAACCAUCUAGUAGCUGGUUCCCUCCGAAGUUUCCCUCAGGAUAGCAGGCGCUCAGACGCUCGCAGUUUUAUCUGGUAAAGCGAAUGACUAGAGGCCUUGCGGCCGAAACGAUCUCAACCUAUUCUCAAAC